GCUGGGCAUUGUGGUGGGCACCUGUAGUCUCAGCUACUAGGGAAGCGGAGGCAGGAGAAUCGCUUGAGCCCAGGAGUUAGAGGUUGCUGUGAGUUGUGAUGCUAUAGCAGUCUACCCAGGGUCACAGCUUGAGGCUCUGUCUCAAAAAAAAAAAAAAAAAGAGAGACAGGGUCUCAUUUUGUCACCCUUGGUAGAGUGCUGUGAUGUCACAGCUCACAGCAACCUCUAGCUCGGGCUUAGGCAAUUCUCUUGCC
rnacentral:sRNA from 1 species